GUAAGGCGCCUCUCAGCUGGCUGACAUGAAGAAGAAGAAGAAGCGGCUGCAGUCUCUCACUCGUGUCGUGUCCGCGGAGGAGGAAACACCUGAGCAGCUGGCCACUGUAUGCCAGUGAAAGCACUCCUAGUCUGGAUCCGCGUGGCUGCUGAAGGUAACAUACUCUCAGUUUUACACCUACAACUCUAAAGAAGGAUGCAGUUAUGAAGUGUGACCACUGGAGGGCAAUGCAUGCAUCACAUAUAUACAGGUGGUCCUGGAUUCUCAGUGUGUUCAUCUUUUGUCGACAGUCAGCACUAACAUUAGCUCCACCUGCACAUGUGAGUGUGCCCCUCUCUCCCCUGAUGACCUGCACUGGGCUCUGAGUCUGCAUGAAGACUAAAGUGCGUCUCUGGCCCUGACAAGCCAGAGUUUCUGAGGAGAACGUGAACUCAGGAUGCUCAGAUGUGAGACUUGUAACCGUGCAUUAACUUUGUUGUGUUUUUCAGGUCUUGCAGGAUGUGGAGACGCUCCUGAUCUGGACUUAAAUCAGGUUGGUGUCCUGUCAUCACAUCACUUACAUGCUGGUCUCUUGUGAUGUAUUGCACUGGGCUCAGAACAUCUGUGUUGACAGAAGUGCGGCUCGGCCCCUGACAAGGCCGAGUCUGAGGAGACGAUAACUUUAAAAACCUGGUUUCAGCCUUGUGGGAUCACGAUCCUGCUGAUUGUCUCUGAUCGCUGUGUUCUUGUUUUUACAGGUACGGGUCCUCCAGCAGACCUCUGCAUAAUAACAAUGUUGUAAUGUCAUACUAUGAACUUUUCUCAGCAUUAUAUAAUCCUGUAUGUGCUCUGAUUUAAAUCAAAUAAAACUCUGCAUCUGAA